AAUAAGUGCAGUUUUACACUAUUCACGUUCAACGUUUGACCGUCCGUCUUAUUUGAAAAAUUUGUGAAAAAAUUAAAAACAUUUAGUCACACAUAAAGUACUAUUCAUAUUUUAUCAUCUAAUAGCAAUAAAAAUACUAAUCAUAAAAAAAUUUCAAAUAAGACGGACGGUCAAACGUUGAACAUGAAUAGUGCAAAACUGCACUUAUU
rnacentral:pre_miRNA from 1 species